UACCUUAUCAUCAUUAUAUGACUGUACUGCCAGUCAUAUAAUAGUGUAUGGUAAUAUUCUGGGACUUUAUAUUCACUCACCACUCAAUCACUGACUUACCCAGAGCCAUUUUGAAAGCUCCAUUCAUGAAAAUAAUACCUAGGAAUAAGGAUGGAGAAAGAUGGCAAAAGAUGAUUAUCCUGUGAUUGUCCCCCUAUAGAAACAUCAAUUUAAACAGCUGUCCACACAAGAAAAUACCUUUGCAAGAGCUAAGAAAACUAGAGAAGCUAGUCCAUUGAGAACCAUGGAAGAAGUACUUUCCUCAUGAUGGAGAAAUGGAUCACUUGGUACAAGCCAUAUACUGUGGCAGCAAUAAGAAAAAUGCAAUGCAGACAUCCCUUCAAGAAGAAACCUGCCACAAGGUGUGAAGUUACCCGGUGAUCUCCAGUUGCAAUGCUUUAAGGAUUGCUCACAGCAUUAGAGCUGAAGUGAUGCUAUUUCCAAAAAUGACUGAAUAUAGCAAAGGUACUAUGGCCCAGCCAUUUCUUCCCAACUUGGAACUCACUAACGGGCAUUCUUUGUACCAGAGCUUCCUUUUGGCUUUCCAAGACUCAAAAUUGCAUAACAGUCUGUCUUUUCUUACCCAAUUUCUUUUUCUUCCCCCUCUCCUUUCUUAGGUGCCAUAUUUACAUCACAGUCUAAAAUCCUUCCCUACCUACUGCUUCUUCUCUAUACCUUUUAUAAUAAUUUUCCUCUAUAAAUUUCUGGGACAGAUAACAACAUAUAACAUUUUGGCAUCUGCUUCUCAAAGGACCUGAAUGGACACAAUCUUCUUCUUAAACCUCUUAGGUAGCCCAAUAAACAUGGUUA